rnacentral:rRNA from 1 species
GACGAACGCUGGCGGCGUGCUUAACACAUGCAAGUCGAACGGAAAGGCCCUGCUCUUGUGGGGUGCUCGAGUGGCGAACGGGUGAGUAACACGUGAGUAACCUGCCCUUGACUUUGGGAUAACUUCAGGAAACUGGGGCUAAUACCGGAUAGGAGCUCCUGCUGCAUGGUGGGGGUUGGAAAGUUUCGGCGGUUGGGGAUGGACUCGCGGCUUAUCAGCUUGUUGGUGGGGUAGUGGUUUACCAAGGCUUUGACGGGUAGCCGGCCUGAGAGGGUGGCCGGCCACAAUGGGACUGAGGUACGGCCCAGACGCCUACGGGACGCAGCAGUGGGGAAUCUUGCGCAAUGGGCGGAAGCCUGAUGCAGCGACGCCGCGUGCGGGAUGACGGCCUUCGGGUUGUAAACCGCUUUCGCCGGUGACGAAGCGUGAGUGACGGUAAUGAGUAAAGAAGCACCGGCUAACUACGUG